UUUCCGUAGGUGAACCUGCGGAAGGAUCAUUAAUAAAAGGAUACCGUCACCGGUAUACCCCAUCCGUGUCUAUCUACUCUUGUUGCUUUGGCAGGCCGCGGUCUCGACCCUGUGGGCUUCAGUGCCUGCAAGUGCCUGCCAGAGGACCAAACUCUUGAAUUUAGUGAUGUCUGAGUACUAUAUAAUAGUUAAAACUUUCAACAACGGAUCUCUUGGUUCUGGCAUCGAUGAAGAACGCAGC
rnacentral:misc_RNA from 1 species